GCUCCAGUGGCACAAUCGGUUAGCGCGCCGUACUUAUAGACAGUACCUUCCCCACGAUGGCCGUGGGAUAAGUAAUGCGGAGGUUGUGAGUUCGAUCCUCACCUGGAGCA
rfam:Biomphalaria glabrata isolate BB02 unplaced genomic scaffold LGTN_random_Scaffold10048, whole genome shotgun sequence.